GACGAACCGUGCGAACGUUGUUCGGAAUCACUGGGCUUAAAGGGCUCGUAGGCGGCCAACUAAGUCAGACGUGAAAUCCCUCGGCUUAACCGGGGAACUGCGUCUGAUACUGGAUGGCUUGAGUUCGGGAGAGGGAUGCGGAAUUCCAGGUGUAGCGGUGAAAUGCGUAGAUAUCUGGAGGAACACCGGUGGCGAAGGCGGCAUCCUGGACCGACACUGACGCUGAGGAGCGAAAGCCAGGGGAGCAAACGGG
rnacentral:rRNA from 1 species